AGUAACUCUAUACACCAAACUGUGCUAUUCCAAUAUUACAAACAUUUACUCAGUAGAGCAACAAUAGUAGAUGUCAUUUCCUGUCAUAAAAGAGUCACAUCAAUGCAGUGUAAUGUAUCUUCCCUCUCACUGCCAGAUGAGGUCAGUUAAGGACACUGAGUCUACUUUUUUUCCAACAUGAUCACAGCUCUCCUUAUUCUGGCAUAUUGUCUUUUUUCUGGUCAUGCAGAUAACAAUGGUGUUCUCCAGAUGCCUGAAAGGCUCUGGCGUUCUCCAGGGAAUUCUGUAGAAAUGAAUUGCAGUCACAAUAAGGAUAUCGACCACAGACAGAUGUACUGGUUUAAGCAGGUUCCAGGGGAGGAAAUUACACUCCUUGUAUUUACAACAGUUGGUAGUGAACCAGAUUAUGGUAAAUUCAGUAAAGACAAAUAUGAAGCAGUUAAGGAUGUAGUUGAGAGUGGAUCGUUGACAGUAAAGAACUUGGAUGCUGGAGACAAUGCCCUGUAUUUCUGUGCUGUGAAGAAACACUGUGGUGCAAACACACUACAGCACUGA